UGGGGAAUAUUGGACAAUGGGCGAAAGCCUGAUCCAGCCAUGCCGCGUGUGUGAAGAAGGUCUUCGGAUUGUAAAGCACUUUAAGUUGGGAGGAAGGGCCAUUACCUAAUACGUGAUGGUUUUGACGUUACCGACAGAAUAAGCACCGGCUAACUCUGUGCCAGCAGCCGCGGUAAUACAGAGGGUGCAAGCGUUAAUCGGAAUUACUGGGCGUAAAGCGCGCGUAGGUGGUUUGUUAAGUUGGAUGUGAAAGCCCCGGGCUCAACCUGGGAACUGCAUCCAAAACUGGCAAGCUAGAGUACGGUAGAGGGUGGUGGAAUUUCCUGUGUAGCGGUGAAAUGCGUAGAUAUAGGAAGGAACACCAGUGGCGAAGGCGACCACCUGGACUGAUACUGACACUGAGGUGCGAAAGCGUGGGGAGCAAACAGGAUUAGAUACCCCAGUAGUCCCUGAGCGGGCUGGCAAGGCGCAU
rnacentral:rRNA from 1 species